UACGUAGGGACCAAGCGUUGUUCGGAUUUACUGGGCGUAAAGGGCGCGUAGGCGGUGUGUCACGUCGGCCGUGAAAACCUGCAGCUUAACUGUGGGCGUGCGGUCGAUACGGGCAUCACUGGAGUUCGGCAGGGGAGACUGGAAUUCCUGGUGUAGCGGUGAAAUGCGCAGAUAUCGGGAGGAACACCAAUGGCGAAGGCAGCUUGCUGGGACGGUACUGACGCUGAGACGCGAAAGCGUGGGGAGCGAACAGG
rnacentral:rRNA from 1 species